rnacentral:snRNA from 1 species
UUUGAAAUCUAAACCUAUUAGUU